UUUGGUUAAGUUAGAAAGGGCGCACGGUGGAUGCCUUGACACUAGGAGUCGAUGAAGGACGGGACUAACGCCGAUAUGCUUCGGGGAGCUGUAAGUAAGCUUUGAUCCGAAGAUUUCCGAAUGGGGAAACCCACCAUACGUAAUGGUAUGGUAUCCUUAUCUGAAUACAUAGGGUAAGGAAGACAGACCCAGGGAACUGAAACAUCUAAGUACCUGGAGGAAGAGAAAGCAAAUGCGAUUUCCUGAGUAGCGGCGAGCGAAACGGAACAUAGCCCAAACCAAGAGGCUUGCCUCUUGGGGUUGUAGGACAUUCUAUACGGAGUUACAAAGGAACGAGGUAGACGAAGCGACCUGGAAAGGUCCGUCGUAGAGGGUAACAACCCCGUAGUCGAAACUUCGUUCUCUCUUGAAUGUAUCCUGAGUACGGCGGAACACGUGAAAUUCCGUCGGAAUCUGGGAGGACCAUCUCCCAAGGCUAAAUACUCCCUAGUGAUCGAUAGUGAACCAGUACCGUGAGGGAAAGGUGAAAAGCACCCCGGAAGGGGAGUGAAAGAGAUCCUGAAACCGUGUGCCUACAAAUAGUCAGAGCCCGUUAACGGGUGAUGGCGUGCCUUUUGUAGAAUGAACCGGCGAGUUACGAUCCCGUGCGAGGUUAAGCUGAAGAGGCGGAGCCGCAGCGAAAGCGAGUCUGAAUAGGGCGUUUAGUACGUGGUCGUAGACCCGA
rnacentral:rRNA from 1 species